AUUCUAAUGGGAAUCACGGACAUCUCUGAGCUGCAGGCUCCAUUAUUUGGGUUCUCCCUCAUUGUAUACAUGUUGUCAGUGGUGGGUAACUUAGGCUUGAUCAUCCUCACAAAGAUAGAUUCUAGGCUUCAAACACCCAUGUACUUUUUCCUAAGGCAUCUGGCUUUCAUUGAUCUUGGUUAUUCAACAGCAGUGGGACCCAAAAUGCUAGUAAACUUUGUUGUAGAUCAACAUAUAAUCUCCUAUAAUUAGUGUGCUACCCAACUCACUUUCUUCAGUAUAUUUAUCAGUAGUGAAAUUUUCAUUCUGUCAGCAAUGGCCUAUGAACGCUAUGUGGCCAUUUGUAACCCUCUGCUCUAUAUGAUCAUCAUGUCACAAAGGGCAUGUCAAAUUCUAGUGGCAAUACCUUAUCUCUACAGUGUCUUUUUGACUUUGCUGACAGUCACAAAAAUGUUUACCUCAUCAUUUUGUGGCUAUAACAUCAUCAAGCAUUUCUACUGUGAUAGUCUGCCAUUGAUAUCUUUGCUCUGUUCAGACACAGAAGACAUUAAAUUGAUAAUUUUAAUCUUUUCAGCUUUUAAUUUGAUUUCAUCUCUUCUGAUAGUCCUUGUGUCUUACAUUCUGAUCCUUGUCGCCGUCCUCAGGAUGAAUUCUGCAGAAGGCAGGUACAAGGCCUUCUCCACCUGUGGAACUCACCUGACAGUGAUAACUGUAUUUUAUGGCACCUUCUUCUUUAUGUAUGUUCACCCCAAAUCCAGUCAUUCACUUGAUAUUGACAAAAUGGCCUCUUUAUUUUAUACUUUGAUAACACCUAUGUUGAAUCCAAUGAUCUACAGUUUGAGGAAUAAAGAGAUAAAAAAUGCUCUACGUAGA
rnacentral:lncRNA from 1 species